rnacentral:rRNA from 1 species
AUUGAACGCUGGCGGCAGGCUUAACACAUGCAAGUCGAGCGAGUGGCGGACGGGUGAGUAAUGUCUGGGGAACUGCCUGAUGGAGGGGGAUAACUACUGGAAACGGUAGCUAAUACCGCAUACCAUCAGAUGUACCCAUAUGGGAUUAGCUUGUAGGUGGGGUAACGGCUCACCUAGGCGACGAUCCCUAGCUGGUCUGAGAGGAUGAUCAGCCACACUGGGACUGAGACACGGCCCAGACUCCUACGGGAGGCAGCAGUGGGGAAUAUUGCACAAUGGGCGCAAGCCUGAUGCAGCCAUGCCGCGUGUAUGAAGAAGGCCUUCGGGUUGUAAAGUACUUUCAGUCGGGAGGCGUUACCGGCAGAAGAAGCACCGGCUAACUCCGUGCCAGCAGCCGCGGUAAUUC